UGGAGGAAAGCAGGGGAUCGCAAGACCUUGCGCUUUUGGAGCGGCCGAUGUCUGAUUAGCUAGUUGGUAGGGUAAAGGCUUACCAAGGCAACGAUCAGUAGUUGGUCUGAGAGGACGACCAGCCACACUGGGACUGAGACACGGCCCAGACUCCUACGGGAGGCAGCAGUGGGGAAUUUUGGACAAUGGGCGGAAGCCUGAUCCAGCCAUGCCGCGUGAGUGAAGAAGGCCUUCGGGUUGUAAAGCUCUUUCAGUCGAGAAGAAAAAAUUGCGACUAAUAAUCGCAAUUCAUGACGGUAUCGACAGAAGAAGCACCGGCUAACUACGUGCCAGCAGCCGCGGUAAUACGUAGGGUGCAAGCGUUAAUCGGAAUUACUGGGCGUAAAGGGUGCGCAGGCGGCCUUGUAAGUCAGAUGUGA
rnacentral:rRNA from 1 species